CCUACGGGAGGCAGCAGUGAGGAAUAUUGGUCAAUGGCCGCAGGGCUGAACCAGCCAAGUCGCGUGAGGGAUGACGGUCCUAUGGAUUGUAAACCUCUUUUGUCAGGGAGCAAAGGGCGCCACGUGUGGCGCUUUGCGAGUACCUGAAGAAAAAGCAUCGGCUAACUCCGUGCCAGCAGCCGCGGUAAUACGGAGGAUGCGAGCGUUAUCCGGAUUUAUUGGGUUUAAAGGGUGCGCAGGCGGAAUGUCAAGUCAGCGGUAAAAUUUCGGGGCUCAACCCCGUCGUGCCGUUGAAACUGGCGUUCUUGAGUGAGCGAGAAGUAUGCGGAAUGCGUGGUGUAGCGGUGAAAUGCAUAGAGAUCACGCAGAACUCCGAUUGCGAAGGCAGCAUACCGGCGCUCAACUGACGCUCAUGCACGAAAGCGUGGGUAUCGAACAGGAUUAGAUACCCCGGUAGUC
rnacentral:rRNA from 1 species